CGGCUCAGUAACACGUGGAUAACCUACCCUUGAGACGGGGAUAAACCCGGGAAACUGGGUAUAAUACCCGAUAGAUCUCGACUGCUGGAAUGCAUCGAGCUUGAAAGCUCCGGCGCUCAAGGAUGGGUCUGCGGCCUAUCAGGUAGUAGUGGGUGUAGCGUACCUACUAGCCUACGACGGGUACGGGUUGUGAGAGCAAGAGCCCGGAGAUGGAUUCUGAGACACGAAUCCAGGCCCUACGGGGUGCAGCAGGCGCGAAAACUUUACAAUGCUGGAAACAGCGAUAAGGGGACCUCGAGUGCCAGGUUACAAAUCUGGCUGUCGUGAUGCCUAAAAAGCAUUGCAUAGCAAGGGCCGGGCAAGACCGGUGCCAGCCGCCGCGGUAACACCGGCGGCUCGAGUGGUAACCGUUAUUAUUGGGUCUAAAGGGUCUGUAGCCGGCCGGAUAAGUCUCUUGGGAAAUCUGGCAGCUUAACUGUCAGGCUUUCAGGAGAUACUGUCUGGCUCGAGGCCGGGAGAGGUGAGAGGUACUUCAGGGGUGGGGGUGAAAUCUUGUAAUCCUUGAAGGACCACCAGUGGCGAAGGCGUCUCACCAGAACGGACCUGACGGCAAGGGACGAAAGCUAGGGGCACGAACCGGAUC
rnacentral:rRNA from 1 species